rnacentral:ncRNA from 1 species
GUAUUGUAUGAAAGGAGAGGUUAGCACUCCCGUUUACAAGGAUAGAAGAGGCCCUUGGGCCUAACAACACAUACAUAAUUUAAAAAAAAAAACAACAAAUUAUUUCU